GAAAAUGUCCAUAGUUCAGUGGUAGAGCAUCUGCUUUCUCUUCAGAAAGUCCAAGUUCAAUUCCUUGCAUCUUUG